rnacentral:tRNA from 1 species
GAGGUGCCGGGGCUUCUCCCGUUUUUUCUUUCGACGGGAGAAGCG